CCUACGGGUGGCAGCAGUAAGGAAUAUUGGACAAUGCCCGCAAGGGUGAUCCAGCCAUGCCGCGUGCAGGAAGACGGCCCUAUGGUUUGUAAACUGCUUUUGAACAAGAGAAAACCCCCUUACGUGUAAGGGGCUGAUAGUAUUGUUAGAAUAAGCAUCGGCUAACUUCGUGCCAGCAGCCGCGGUAAGACGAAGGCUGCAGGCGUUAUCCGGAUUAAUGGGGUUUAAGGGGAGUUGAGAAGUCAUGGGUGAAAUCUUCUCGCUUAACGAGAAAACUGCCAUUGAUACUGUCAAGCUUGAGUACAGUUGCCGUUGGCGGAAUAUGACAUGUAGUGGUGAAAUACAUAGAGAUGUCAUAGAACACCGAUUGCGAAGGCAGCUAACGAAACUGUAACUGACGCUGAGGCUCGAAAGUGCGGGGAUCAAACAGGAUUAGAUACCCCUGUAGUC
rnacentral:rRNA from 1 species